rnacentral:rRNA from 1 species
AGUGAACGCUGGCGGUAGGCCUAACACAUGCAAGUCGAACGGCAGCACAGUAAGAGUUUGCUCCUACGGGUGGCGAGUGGCGGACGGGUGAGGAAUACAUCGGAAUCUACUUUUUCGUGGGGGAUAACGUAGGGAAACUUACGCUAAUAUCGCAUACGACCUACGGGUGAAAGCAGGGGAUCUUCGGACCUUGCCCGAUUCAAUGAGCCGAUGUCGGAUUAGCUAGUUGGCGGGGUAAAGGCCCACCAAGGCGACGAUCCGUAGCUGGUCUGAGAGGAUGAUCGGCCACACUGGAACUGAGACACGGUCCAGACUCCUACGGGAGGCAGCAGUGGGGAAUAUUGGACAAUGGGCGAAAGCCUGAUCCAGCCAUACCGCGUGAGUGAAGAAGGCCUUCGGGUUGUAAAGCCCUUUUGUUGGGAAAGAAAAGCAGCAGGUUAAUACCCCGCUGUUCUGACGGUACCCAAAGAAUAAGCACCGGCUAACUUCGUG